UUCAGACAAAGGCAAAACCACUGAAAGGUGGCGACGCAAAGUCUCCGGUCUAAAGGGCGCAAGCCCCACGAUAGCGGGACCGCCGGA
rfam:Gammaproteobacteria bacterium SG8_31 WOR_8-12_55, whole genome shotgun sequence.